UGUUAUUGCUGCCUUUACACGUCUUCUAACGUUCAAGGCACCUUUACUCUCCCCGUUUGUUCUCUGUGUCUGUAGGUUCCUUGGGAGCAGCUGGAAGCUGGUAGUAAGUGAAGUUUAAAGGCUGUGAUCGCGGAUUGUGACUUGUGCACAAAGCACACUGGCUCAUUCCUGAGUUGCAACUACAAUCGUGGUCACGCAAAGCCAGACAUGUCUUUUGUGAUUCUCACACCUCAAAAAUUGAGAGAAACUGGUAUUUCAUGGAGGGAACAGAUGUGUUAUGACCACUGGUUCGUAAAGACGGUCAUAUAAAAUUAUGGGACAAUAAAAAGGUUUCCUUAGUCAUA